rnacentral:lncRNA from 1 species
GUAAGGAUGAAGAACAUAUGUAACAAGACAGUAGAGCUUAUAUGCAUUGAUGACGAUGACGAUGACGAUGACGAUGACGAUGACGAUGACGAUGACGAUGACGAUGACGAUGACGAUGACGAUGACGAUGACGAUGACGAUGACGAUGACGAUGACGAUGACGAUGACGAUGACGAUGACGAUGACGAUGACGAUGACGAUGACGAUGACGAUGACGAUGACGAUUGUAUAAUACUUGAGACUGACCCAUUAGAGGACACAAAUGCAUACACUGUUAGCAAUCGCUAUGUUCAUCAAGAUUUGGUGAUCGAAGAUGAGGUAACCAUAAUUGCAGAACGAGGUCAGGU